rnacentral:rRNA from 1 species
CGGGAAUUUUGGGCAAUGGGCGAAAGCCUGACCCAGCAACGCCGCGUGAGGGAUGAAGUAUUUCGGUAUGUAAACCUCGAAAGAAUGGGAAGAAUAAAUGACGGUACCAUUUAUAAGCUCCGGCUAACUACGUGCCAGCAGCCGCGGUAAUACGUAGGGAGCAAGCGUUGUUCGGAUUUACUGGGCGUAAAGGGCGCGUAGGCGGCGCGGUAAGUCACUUGUGAAAUCUCUGAGCUUAACUCAGAACGGCCAAGUGAUACUGCUGUGCUAGAUUGCGGAAGAGGCAACCGGAAUUCUUGGUGUAGCGGUGAAAUGCGUAGAUAUCAAGAGGAACACCUGAGGCGAAGGCGGGUUGCUGGGCCGACACUGACGCUGAUGCGCGAAAGCCAGGGGAGCAAACG